UGCAAACAAACUGCUCCAGGGAUCGUUUUGGCAGCAGCUCUCAUUGAUGCAUUCAUCAUAAGCUUUUAUGGCACUGGAUAUUUGCACAACCUUAACUCCCUGACCCAAUUAUGCAAUUAUGCGGCGUAAAAACACUUCGGAUUUGGUCCAAACGUUUUGCUCAGCACUUUCAUCUGGCCCGGUAUGGAAAUCAUGGCUACCAACAAACAAUAUCAUAUCAUCGCCAAAGAGGGGAAUUACUUAUUAUCGCAUUUAACCUGCUUUUAGCGGGCGACAUUAAUCAAUGUCCGGGCUCAUUGUCCAGCCCUAAACUUGAAGCAAAAUCCUACGAUCUUCAAAUCCAUCACGGUGAGCAACUACCCUGCUAUCCAGGUACAUACAAACAUCAUCAAUACUGCAAAUCCGGAAUCUGAUUACCCACCUAAAUUAACUGUCUGCUCUUCGAGCGGCUUGGAGUCCAUAACGCCGCAGACGGCGCUAAACUGAGACCCGGGGGCCAGCCUGACCGGAUGACCACUGCGAUGGAGGGUGAGAGAGAGUCGGCAACACCUGGACAGCUAAGCUGACUUUUGAGGGAAAACAACAGCGAUUCCACCACAUGGCAAGCUACGUAAACUCCUCCAGAAGGAAACAACAAUUAUUAACAUUAAUUAAACAAUAUACAAACUGCUGAUCUCGAAAUUACGAGCAUCAUAUCUUCUGGUCAACAAAAUAACUCCGGUGACCGGUCAGGUAACAGUAAGCGUUGGCCAACCAAUAACUCUUCCGGAGUUUCUACUGGCUGCUUAAAUAAAAUCAAACCUUGCUGUGUCUCUAAUGAAUAAUGUAAUAUAACUCAGCAUAACACGCAACGGAAAAUCACAGGUCUAAACCCAGCAAUUAAGAAAUUACGAAAACUGUUACCAACGCCAGAGUAAUGCGGGACCCUAAAGCAAAACCCAAAGGUCUGCUAGGGGGAUGCCUGAAUAUUCGCAGUAUUAUUCCAAAAAGUGAUCAAAUUUAACAUCUUCUUGUUGAUUCUAACUUUGACUUUCUGUGCUUGUCUGAGACGUGGCUCCAUAAAAACUCCCGUUCUGCUGCUCUACAUAUUCCUGGCUAUGCCUUCAGGAAAGAGAGCUGAGGGUAGAGGUGGGGGGUUUCUGUUUUAUAUUAAAGAUCACAAAGCGUGUAAACAGAUUCAAAAUGUUGAGAAUGACCUAGAAUGUAUCUGCCUAGAUGUCACACUUUCACCACAAAUGUCUUUAAGUCUCAUUGGAGUCUACAGACCACCCUCUGCAAAAUCUGCUUAUCUUGAGAAAUUAUAUGUUAGGCUUAGGGAAUGCAGCUCAGAGAAGGAAGUAAUUAUGAUGGGUGAUUUUAAUAUUCUCAUCUAGAACUGUACGCAGGAUAAGCGGUUGACGAUGGAUGGAUCUAGAACCGAAAUUGAUCUGAUAUUUAGUAACUAACCUGAGAGAGUAACCAAAUCCUUCAACAUGGUCACAGGUCUGUCUGAUCACAACUUAAUCCUUAUAGCCAGAAAACUUAAAAAAUUGGUCCAAAUUUUCCACUUAUACAAAGCCCUGCCAAUUUAGAAUACCUACGAGUGAUGUAUGUGAAUAUGAAAAUGCUAUUAAGAACAUUAAUUGGAAUGAAAUACUAAUUGGUACAAAUGUGGAUGCUGACACACGCAUGUUUUUAUCCACAAUUCAAAACAAAACAAUUUUUAAACUAAACUACUAAAUGUACUCUCCCCUGGAUUAAUGGUGACAUAAGGAGACUAAUGAAGGCUAUACGGACAUUUCUUAAGACUAUGUUACUGACUGACAGACAAAUCUUCACUUCUUUAAGGAACAGGGUAAUAAAGGACAUCCGAGUAGCUAAAGCAAACUUCUUCGUUAGUCUGAUAGGUGAAGCUAAGGGAAAUCACAAACAAAUCUGGGACUCCCUAAAAAAGCUAACUGGGAAAUGGCAUAAUAAUACAACAAAGCAGCUGGUGAUUAAAGACAAAGGCUCCCUGGUUAAAGUGGCAACAGAAACGGCUACUCUGCUCAACUCCUAUUUUGUGAAUUCUGUAAAGAUGACAGUACACAUAAAUCAAACUGAACCUCUCCAUCCUUCACCAAUAGAUAUCUCUCAACCUGUCCUAUCCUUGAUGGACGUCUCUGAAUCGAAAGUUAACACAAUCCUGAACUCUAUUAAAAAUUCGAAAUCAAAAGAUAUAUUUGGAUUAGAUACUCUCUUCUUUAAGCGGCACGCAGGUUCAUUUAAUGAAUCAAUAACAAAGAUAAUUAAUGCCUCUUUUAAAGAAGAGAAGUUUCCAAAGAACUUGAAGUCAACAAUUGUCGUACAAGUUCAUUAAUCAGGACACCCGACUGAUGUGAGCAAUUAUAGACCUAUUAACAUUUUACCUGUCAUCUCAAAAAUUGCAGAGAAAUGUGUUGCUUAACAGCUGACCACACAUCUCAAGUAGCCCUUAUACACUGCAUCCAAUGCAAAUCGGUUUUCGAGUUAACCAUUCCACUGAGACAGCAAACUGUCUCUUACUUUUAGAAAACAUCAAGCUACAAAAGGAAUAAAGGAGGUGUUGUCAGGGUCAUAUUUUUAGACUUCAGUCAACAGUCAACCAUAAAAUACUUAUCUGUAAACUAGCAAAUUUAAAUUUCUCUUCUAAUGUGAUGAAUUGGAUGAAGUCCUAUCUUGAAGCCAGAGUUCAGUGUGUAAGGGUGGGUAGUGAAACAUCAUCCUUCCUGAGUAAUGAAAUGGGUGUGCCUCAGGGAUCCAUCCUGUGACCUCUCCUGUUCGGCUUAUAUAUAAAUAAUCUACCAUCGGUCUGCACAGGGUCUGAAGUUCAGAUGUAUGCAGACGAUACUGUAAUUUAUGUCUAUGCAUGGACCAAAGAACAAGCAGCUUCUAAACUCAGUGCAGCAAUGAUUAAUGUAAAGAAAUGGCUUAAUGAUUCACACCUGUUUCUUAAUUUUAAGAAGACUGUUUGCAUGUUUUUCACAAAACUGACUGUGAUCCCAAAGUAUGUGUGUCUGGAGAGAUCCUCCAAGUAGUCUGUUAUGUUAAAUACCUCGUAUUAUCCUUAACUCCACCUAAUCCUUCAAAAAACAAGUGAAGAAAGUAAUGCAAAUAACUAAAUACAACCUGGCCAAUUUUAGGUACAUAAGAAACCGCCUAACAACUACAGCAGCAAAAUUAUAUAUGAAUGCAAUGAUCAUCCCCCACUUAACAUAUUGUAUGACAAGUCGGACUCAAGCAAGAUGUACAACACUGAAGCCCAUUCUUUCUGUGUACAAGCAGAAUCACAAAGUGUUAGAUAGAAAACCCAAUACUUACCACCAUUGUAAUAUUUUGGGCAUAUAUGAAAUCCUUACUUGAUUUAAUUGAAUGAAAUACAGUAACAUCUGUCUGGUGUUUAAGAUUCUAAAUAGAAAAGCUCCCCACCACUUGGUACUUUUAUUUAGAUGAAAAAUUACACCAACAGAACUACAAGAUCAGCUCUAAGAGGGGACUGUGUAAUCCCUUUCAGGACUAGCUCCUUCAGCAAGAGCUUCUCAAUUGUGGAACACCCUACCAACUGAAAUAAGAAUCUGUAACACCUACCAUACCUUCACACAAAGCCUUGUGGCCUGGCUUUUGAAAAGUCAAACGUGAACAUUUCUAAACAAAAUAGUACAUUGCACAUUUUAUUUUUAUUGUCGUUACUAUUUAACCUGCUGCUAACAUGUCUCAUGUCCUCUGCACAUUGCCAGGUGGCCAGCUUUGCACAGCUUGCCAACGACCCGCACCUUCACCUCGUCAGCCACCUCCUCUGACUGCCACACCUGCCAGCGAUUAGCCUCAUCUCCAACUGUUCUUCUACCCCGGUUCUCCAGUCAAUCCCUGCUUGAUCGUCGUUGCUCCUAACCUGGUUCACUCACCCUCGUCCUCUGUCAAGUCGGCUGGGCUCGCUCACCUGCCCACUUCCUUCAGGCUUCCCCAACGGUGUCCUCCCAGUCCUCCUGUGCCUCUUCUCUUCCUCAACCCCCAGUGUUCCUUGGUUCUCUGGUCUCAGCCUCCUUGGUUUCACAUGCCUGCGUCUCCCCGGCAUCACUUCUCCCUCGACUCCAGUCCCUCAACCCCUUUUUUUCCCCAAUAAAACCUGCCAAUCUGA